rnacentral:rRNA from 1 species
UACGGGGGGAGCAAGCGUUGUUCGGAUUUACUGGGCGUAAAGGGCGCGUAGGCGGCGCAACAAGUCACUUGUGAAAUCUCCGGGCUUAACCCGGAGCGGCCAAGUGAUACUGUCGUGCUAGAGUGCGGAAGGGGCUACUGGAAUUCUCGGUGUAGCGGUGAAAUGCGUAGAUAUCGAGAGGAACACCGGUGGCGAAGGCGGCCUUCUGGACGAUGACUGACGCUGAGACGCGAAAGCGUGGGGAGCAAACAGG